AGAGUUUGAUCCUGGUUCAGGAUGAACGCUAGCUACAGGCUUAACACCAUGCAAGUCGCGGGGCAGCAUGUUACUGGCUUGCCAGUAAUGAUGGCGACCGGCGCACCGGGUGAGUAUCGCGUAUCCAACCUUCCCAUAUCCACGGGAUAGCCUGCCGAAAGGCGGAUUAAUACCGUAUGUUGUCGCACGCUGGCAUCAAAAUGCGACGAAAGGCUUAGCGGAUAUGGAUGGGGAUGCGUCCGAUUAGCUUGACGGCGGGGUAACGGCCCACCGUGGCGACGAUCGGUAGGGGUUCUGAGAGGAAGGUCCCCCACAUUGGAACUGAGACACGGUCCAAACUCCUACGGGAGGCAGCAGUGAGGAAUAUUGGUCAAUGGGCGGAAGCCUGAACCAGCCAAGUAGCGUGCAGGAUGACGGCCCUAUGGGUUGUAAACUGCUUUUAUGCGGGGAUAAAGUAUGGGACGUGUCCCAUUUUGCAGGUACCGCAUGAAUAAGGACCGGCUAAUUCCGUGCCAGCAGCCGCGGUAAUACGGAAGGUCCGGGCGUUAUCCGGAUUCAUUGGGUUUAAAGGGAGCGUAGGCCGCCCCUUAAGCGUGUUGUGAAAUGCCGCGGCUCAACCGUGGCACUGCAGCGCGAACUGGGGGGCUUGAGUGUGCGCGACGCAGGCGGAAUUCGUGGUGUAGCGGUGAAAUGCUUAGAUAUCACGAGGAACCCCGAUUGCGAAGGCAGCUUGCGGGAGCACUGCUGACGCUGAAGCUCGAAGGCGCGGGUAUCGAACAGGAUUAGAUACCCUGGUAGUCCGCGCGGUAAACGAUGGAUGCCCGCUGUGUGCCAUUAUGGUAUGCGGCCAAGCGAAAGCGUU
rnacentral:rRNA from 1 species